rnacentral:rRNA from 1 species
UAGGGAAUCUUCGGCAAUGGACGAAAGUCUGACCGAGCAACGCCGCGGGAGUGAAGAAGGUUUUCGGAUCGUAAAACUCUGUUGUUAGAGAAGAACAAGGACGUUAGUAACUGAACGUCCCCUGACGGUAUCUAACCAGAAAGCCACGGCUAACUACGUGCCAGCAGCCGCGGUAAUACGUAGGUGGCAAGCGUUGUCCGGAUUUAUUGGGCGUAAAGCGAGCGCAGGCGGUUUCUUAAGUCUGAUGUGAAAGCCCCCGGCUCAACCGGGGAGGGUCAUUGGAAACUGGGAGACUUGAGUGCAGAAGAGGAGAGUGGAAUUCCAGGUGUAGCGGUGAAAUGCGUAGAUAUAUGGAGGAACACCAGUGGCGAAGGCGGCUCUCUGGUCUGUAACUGACGCGGAGGCUCGAAAGCGUGGGGAGCAAACAGG